rnacentral:rRNA from 1 species
AUUGAACGCUGGCGGCAUGCCUUACACAUGCAAGUCGAACGGCAGCAUGGAGAGCUUGCUCUCUGAUGGCGAGUGGCGAACGGGUGAGUAAUGCAUCGGAACGUACCGUGUAAUGGGGGAUAACGUAGCGAAAGUUACGCUAAUACCGCAUACGACCUGAGGGUGAAAGCAGGGGAUCGCAAGACCUUGCGUUAUACGAGCGGCCGAUGUCAGGUUAGCUAGUUGGUGAGGUAAAGGCUCACCAAGGCGACGAUCUGUAGCGGGUCUGAGAGGAUGAGCCGCCACACUGGGACUGAGACACGGCCCAGACUCCUACGGGAGUCAGCAGUGGGGAAUUUUGGACAAUGGGGGCAACCCUGAUCCAGCCAUGCCGCGUGAGUGAAGAAGGCCUUCGGGUUGUAAAGCUCUUUCGGCCGGGAAGAAAUCGCACAGGCUAAUACUCUGUGUGGAUGACGGUACCGGCAUAAGAAGCACCGGCUAACUACGUGCCAGCCGCCGCAGUAA